UACAGAGGGUGCGAGCGUUGUUCGGAAUUACUGGGCGUAAAGCGCGCGCAGGCGGCCCUUUAAGUCUACCCGUGAAAUGCCGGAGCUCAACUCCGCGCACGCCGGGGGAUACUGGGGGGCUGGAGACAUGUAGAGGCAAGCGGAAUUCCGGGUGUAGCGGUGGAAUGCGUAGAGAUCCGGAAGAACACCUGAGGCGAAGGCGGCUUGCUGGGCAUGAUCUGACGCUGAGGCGCGAAAGCGUGGGGAGCAAACAGG
rnacentral:rRNA from 1 species